CUGCUCACUUUGGCAGCACAUACACUAAAAUUGGAAUGGUACAGAGAGAUUAGCAUGGCCCCGUGCAAGGAUGACACACAAAUUCAUGAAGCAUUCCAUAUUUUU